AAUAAAGGACUUAACAUUUUUCCCUAAUUUUUCUUUAAUAGGAUAUUUGUCAAAUGCAAAAGAUAUCUACAAAAGCAUGUUGGACUCCUGCUUGGAUAACAUUUGGAGACAGCUGAAAAUUUUACAGUUUACUAAGGGGAAAAGGCCUAAAACCAACUAUAAGAUCGAAGAAUUACAAUGUCAGAUACUAAGCAGGUUGCAAAGUCAACAACAAAUUAAGGUACUAAUUAUAAUAAGAAUGGACUCCGAUGGAGAAAAGCAUUUACUUAUUAAAACCCUUAAGAAAAUAGAAGGUAGGAGCAUUUAAUUUAUGUUUCAUUUAGUAAAUGCCUUAAGUUAUGCAAAUGUAAUCAUCUGUUAUUGACAGUAAAAUACCAUAAAUUUGUCUUCUCAAAAUCUAAGACUCAGUGGGGUUUCACCAAUGAUUUGAUUCUCCAGUUGCU
rnacentral:lncRNA from 1 species